rnacentral:lncRNA from 1 species
UUUUUACCAUGAAACAAAAAACUGUAGCUGUAAUAUGAACAUUGGUUUGGGAUCAUUUCAACGGAAAUACAAACAUGUUAUAAAUAGCCUCCAUUCAACUAAAUCUUAACUCUUUUAUUGCUUAAAUGCUAUUCUUUAAUUUCAACUUUCCCUUCUAUUUCUGAAAGAUACUUGGAUUAUCAGGUAAACUGAGUAAAUGACCUGUAAUUUUUGGGGAUCUUAUAGCUAUGUACUCAUUCAGUUGUGUUUGUUUAAAUAAAAUGAAGUGUUUGAUUUUGUCAUAUAGGACUGUUGAAUGUUCUCUUGAUCUGUUUUGUCUCAUUGUCUCUUCAGCCUGUUAGUGGAGUGUUUUACGAAGUACUGUGUGGUACGAGAAGCUAUUAGGCAUUUUCGUGCCCUUAAAAACUUUGAAGGGGGUACAAAAGUUCUACACGAUGAAGGGAAUCAUGGAGAUCCACUUUCUUUGUACCUUCGAGCAUUAUGUCGGGAAGGUAUAAUUCUACGGGCUAUGUAUUUUUAGUUUUCUCAUUCAAAGAGAUGUUGUCUCGAUUAAUAAAUAAUAUACAAUUUUAUUCAAUUAACCUUAAGGGCUCGCAUUUGUUGUCACAAGUUUGAACUUUCCCUUAUCUUCUACAAAAUAAGGUAAGUUUUCCAUAGGUAGAGAGAUAUUAGGAACGUACUCUUUAACACACUUUUUUGAAUAUACUCACUCAUGGGUUGAAUAUUAUAGGAAAUCACAAACAGUGUGGAACUUUAAUGAUUCCCUUUCUUGAUUUUUGUAUUUUCCAAUAAAGUUUUGCUAUUAAGAGUGAGUGACCGAUAAAGUGUAUUAGAGAGUGUGCUCCUAUCACUUCUCCCAUUAAUAUUUUUUUAACUCAGACUUUUCCAUCGUUGGAUUAAGGCACCAAUUCCUUAACCUAAAAUAGUUGUACUCAAAAGAGUAUCAUCCCAUUUGUUUUAUGAAAUGGACGACAAUAAUGAGGCAUUUAUUUUAAAGUUGUGCCUAAGUUUCAGCUCAAAGAAGAAUUUUCAGGGGGAGUAUCAGAUGGGAAUCCAUCGGCCUUGCCAUUACAUGUAGAAUAUCUGUUCCAGAGCACAUACUUAUUUCCUAAAAAGUUAUUUUUUUUAUAUAUUUUGUUGCCUUUGUUGAGACAUUCUAACUAAAGAUAGUCAUCAGGGAUUUGCUCCUUUGUGGUGUUCAAUUUAUAUUUAUAAAAUUCUCUGACCAAAAUUAUUUAGAAUGCUUGGCUUCAACCUGGUUGUCAUUUUGAAAUACAGGAAGAAUUGUUGAAAUGCUUGAAGCUUUAGAAGUUAUGGCCAAAGAUAACCAGCCAAUCCCUUCACGAGCAAUGAUCUUGAGCAGAAAAUACCGGACAUUAGUAAGCUCAUGGAUUGAACCAUUACAAGAAGAGGCUGAACUUGGAUAUGAGAUUGAUUAUAUAGCUAGGUAUUGUUUCUUUUUCAACAACAGUUGCUAUUAUUAUUAUUAUUAUUAUUAUUAUUUUGAUCUAAGUUAUUUAUUUUAUACAUGUUUUCAUAAAUAUUCUUAUCUGUUCUCAGCAAGUGAAGCUGAAACCCAAAUUGAAACUAUUAUUAUGAUUUCACUUGUCUUUUGUUUAUUUAGAUUGGGUUUUCAUUCUAAUUGUUUUUCUAAGGCUUGUGUUUGUGUCCAGCUUAUUUUUCCUAACGAGGUACCUUUAAUAUUCUAAAACUACCAGUUGGCGAAAUAGGCAAAUCAAAAUCUAAGCAGUGGUCCUAAGAAUCUCUUUUAUGUUUUCUACAAAAAGCUUUUGACUUUUUCCUUUUGCUUUCCUUUAUUUUUUUAAUGCAGGCGUUCUCUGUCACUGAUAUAGUAAAUCUCAGUUAAUGGGCUCAAUUAAGUAAUGCUUAAUCAUUGUAUAGAUUUUUUUUAUUAAUGUGUUUAUUGUUGUUAAUUGGACAGAUAUGUUGAGGAGGGUGGCCUAACUGGCGAGCGCAAGCGGUGGGUGCCUCGAAGAGGUAAAACACCUCUAGAUCCUGAUGCUCAAGGAUUUAUAUAUUCAAACCCAAUGGAGACCUCCUUAAAACAAAGAUGCCUGGAGGACUUGAGGGAUUACAAUAAAAAGCUCCUGAAGACCUUGCAGAUUGAAGGACUUGCAGUUUUAGGGGAUGGUGUAUCUGAAUAUGAUUAUAUUAGAGUGAAGGAAAGAUUAAAGAAACUCAUAAAGGGUCCUGAACAGAAUUCUUUAAAGCCUAAGGCUGCUAGUAAAAUGCUUGUGUCUGAAUUGAAGGAAGAAUUAGAAGCACAAGACUUGCCUACAGAUGGAACUAGAAAUAUUCUUUACCAACGGGUACAGAAAGCAAGGAGAAUAAAUCGAUCUAGGGGUAGGCCCCUUUGGAUUCCUCCAGUGGAAGAGGAGGAAGAAGAGGUUGGUUCUUCAUUUGUUUUGUUUAAGUACCUUUUUCUUUUAUCUCCAUCUGACCUGUAAUAUAUAAUGCUAAACUUAAAUAUGAUUCAUGUUCUAGGUGGAUGAAGAACUGGAUGCAUUGAUUUCACGUAUACAGCUACAGGAAGGAAAUACAGAGUUCUGGAGACGUCGCUUUUUAGGUGAAGGCUUAACUGGUGAUCAAGAAAUGACAAUGGAUGCAGGUAAGUCAGACGUCUCUGAAGUUGCAGAUGACAUUGAUGCAAUAGAAGAUGCUGCUAAAGAUGUUGAAGAUGAAGUCGAUGAGGAGGAGGAGGAAGCAGAACAAGUAGAAGAGGAAGUAGAACCAGCAGAGAACCAAGACGUAGACAGGAUAAAAGUCAAGGAAGUUGAAGCUAAGAAGCCUCUUCAAAUGAUUGGGGUCCAGUUGUUUAAAGAUUCUGAUCAACCUGUAACUAGGUCUAAAAAGUUUAGAAAAUCCAGAUUGCAGGCUGCGGUAUGAUAAUAAUUCUUUGGUUUUCUUUUCCUUUUUAAGUUUGGAUGGAGAGAGUUGGGUUCUUCUACUUGUUUAGACAGUAGGGCAGGUUUUGUGUACAGAAGAUCCCAAAAUGUUAGGAUGUAAAAACCAACAUGAUAAAACUGAUAUGGCAGCCUGAGGUUUUGGGUGAGAAUGAUUCAUGAGAAGCUGAGAGCCAUUUAUUGACCAUCCAUUCUCUGUUAACAUUACAUUCUUUCAAUCUUUGUUGCAGUUUUGACAUUCUGAAUCUAACUUGUUUGCUGGCAGGAUGAUGAUGAUGAUGAUUGGUUUCCACUGGACGUAUUUGAGGCAUUUAAGGAAAUGAGGAAGCGAAAAAUUUUUGAUGUGUCAGACAUGUACACAUUAGCAGAUGCUUGGGGAUGGACAUGGGAGAGAAAACUGAAGAACAAACCUCCUCGUCGAUGGUCACAGGAAUGGGAAGUUGAGUUGGCAAUCAAAGUUAUGCAGAAGGUAAAUAACUAAAGCUUGACUUUUUAACUGCGAAAUCGCUUCUUGUUGAAAUGGUUUUAACUGGUUAAAUUCUCAGUUUCUUGCAGACAUGGAAUAUGAUUACUGCUUCUUCAAAUGUACAAAAUAAAAACUGUACUUUAUAACACUGCACAUAAAAGUAAAUUAAGAUCCAAAAUGAUGUAGGCUGAUGACAUUAAGUUUUGUAUCUAGAUUUUGGCUGUCUUAGUUUUCUUGUGUUCAUGAUUGACGUGUUUGAGGGAUAUUGUUACCUGAUUUUAUCAUCUUCUCUUCUUUCUACUUGCGAAGUUCAUCCACCUUAAGGUUCUACAGUUUGGAAGUUUGGGUGAAGUUUCUUAAUCUGUAAAUUGUUUUAGUCCCAAUUUCUGAGUUUAUUCAUUUAAUUACGUGAAGGCUAAAAUCGUAUAACUAAGGGAAUUUCAAUGAAAUAUCUGUGAGAAAGACUCAUUGCAGCAACCCUAACAUUUAUGCAAUGAAUAUUAGCAUAUCUAGGAUAUCCCUUUACAUUUGUUAUUUCUUAAAUGUGAGGUAUACUCUUGAGAUUUAUGUUUUCAGGUUAUCAAUUCCAAAACUAGUUUACUGGAACAUGCUGGCUGGCAGCAUUUUGGUGACACGUGUUAUUUUUUACUUGGUUCAACUUUCAUGGUGAUGCAUGGAUCAGUUAAGCUAGUUUGCGAAUGCUGUUGAUUUAGUCUUCCUUCAAUGGGAUAUUAAACAUUCUUGGUGUGUCGAAAACAAUUUUAUAAUUACUCUGAAUGGUGAUAUUUAUAUUUGUUUCGUAUAGAAGAAUUAAAAAAGAACAUUGGUGUCUAGUUGUCUACCUUUCUGCUUGUUGAUUCCUGUCCAGGUAUUGUGUAAUAAUUCAUUCAAUUUUGAAAUUUGGCAUAUAUAUUAGUUAGAACGUAGUAGAGAUAUAUUCAUCAUCUUUGUAAAUAACGCUGAGAUUUCCACUACUUGUUUGAAGUUAGAAUUUCCCACUUGAUUUAGGAGCUAACACUGAAUAAUUUUUUAUUAGUAAUUAGCAAUACUACUUUAGUCUUUUGGAUAUUUAACCUAUCAACAUUCUUUGGUAUAUGCUUGUCUUUGCUGAAUGAGAUUUUGACCUAUAUUGUACAGGUCAUAGAAUUGGGAGGGACACCAACUAUAGGGGAUUGUGCCAUGAUCUUGCGUGCAGCUAUAAGGGCGCCUCUACCCUCAGCUUUCUUAACAAUUUUGCAAACAACUCAUGGACUUGGUUAUAAGUUUGGGAGGUAAUUUAUUUUCUUUGUAAAACAAGACCGUGUUCUUCUGUGGGUUACCCAACCCAGCCAACAAAAAUUUAGAUAUUUUAUAUGCUUGACCAGGAGGAAAAGAAAGCUAACCCGAUACUUCUGAGGAAAUAAUCAAUAACUGUUGGGUUGGAUUAGAUAUUGCAGAAUUUUAUUCACUAUGAUAACUGCAAAAUGAAGGCAACCUUUGGUUUUCUGCCAUCCCAUGUCUGUUGCUUUUCAUCUUAUUGUUUCUUCAUUUUCCCCCGUGUUACAGUUCUCUUUAUGAUGAGAUAAUCUCUCUCUGCAUUGAUCUCGGGGAACUAGAUGCAGCUGUUGCCGUAGUUGCAGAUUUGGAAACCACAGGGAUCUUGGUCUCGGAUCAGACUUUGGAUAGGGUGAUUUCUGCCAAGCAGAGGAUUGACAAUAUCUCUAAUGGUGUCAUCACGGAUGAAGGAUUGUAAAACUAUACCUCCAUAUUGUAAUGGUUGUUAUGCUUGGGACUGGUAUAACUACCCGUUGUGGUUUGAUGUAUCAUCAUUGCACAGAUGUGCAAAUUUUGUGCUUAGCCUAAUGUAUGCAUAGUAUCAGGCCUUGAAGAUGCUUAACUGGUAAGCAUUAUUAGUUCUCUCUUUAGUUUUUUUACUUCACCACAAUCUAUUAUUUUGAACAGGGUGUUUUGUAAAUGAAGCAACGGCAGGCUCCCACCGUUGCAGGGACAUUGGCUUUUUAUUCCACUAACACGAAAUGACGCUGUUGGAAAUUUAACGUCACCAACAACCAAUAAUUCGGGAUUCCGCGGUGGACAAUGUGUGUUGACAAGAUCAGGUUCACUUCAUUGGCCGAUUCCCCCUUCCAUUCAGCAAAAAAACUUCAUUGGUUUAUUGGUACUAGUAGAUUUCAUGUAAAAUAGUAUAUAAAAAUGUUAAUAUCAUUUGUUCAAGAAAUUAAUGACUUGUAUGGGGGCAUCACUAUGGUUAUUAGUUAGGCACACGAAAUAACAUUAAAUACUUUUAUUCUUUUAAUCCAUAGGAAGAGAUUCUAGUUGGCAAUGGAAAUUACACCUGCUCAGAUUUGCAAAUGUAACGGCCAAAGGAGGUAUAAAUGAAAUGUAGCAAUCUAGUUGACAUCCCACGAAUAGUUAUUCGAAAAGAGGAUCUUGUUACUAGCAAGCUUAAGCUUUUCAUUGUUACUAGGAGGGAAAGAUGGAGAUCCGAAGGGUGGUAAUAGAGAGACGAGUUUUGUAUGGUUGAGAGGGCAUCUCCUACUUUUACUGUUUUUAGUUUGGGUCAAAAAUAAUUGCCCCUGGCGAAGAGCAGGGUUGCUCUGUAACAGGGUAAUUUUUUGUAUUUAUAAUUUUUAUGAGAAAAAGAGUAAUGUUUCUGGAAUUGGAAACAAUCCAAAUAAGAAAAAAAAAAAACAGAUCUUUGUAAUUGUAGAAAAUUACAUCAAAACAGAAAUUUUAUGAAUAAAUUUAGAAUUAAAAGAAUAUGAUCUACUGAUGGAUACAUCACCAAGUUCAUGGCAGAUGGAGCAGAUUUAAUGACACAAGGACAGGAAUCAUAAUGUCAUGUUUGUUAAAAUUUGGCCACACCUGGUAUUGCUAUAUUAGGUCUGAUCAGAAGUAUGCUGGUCCUCUUUCUGUCACUAAUACCUUUGCCGGUUCUGUAUUAGCUACUCAUACUGCAUCAUAAUCUCACCAUGGGACCAGCCUACCAAAAAUCUUAUCCCACUAUACCACCUAUCAUCUCACACCAUGUGCAGUAAAUCAUAGGUCAAAACCAAACUUCCAUAAUAUCAUGCAUCUUCGUCUGUUCUUCUUGCUUAUGCUUUUUCUCUCCUUCCAUACUAACCAUUAUCAGGCACUACCAGAGCCACU